rnacentral:rRNA from 1 species
UUGUAAUUUGUAGAGGAUGCUUCGGGUGCGGCCCCUGUCUAAGUGCCCUGGAAUGGGCCAUCGGAGAGGGUGAGAAUCCCGUCUGGGAUGGGGUGUUCCGUGCCCGUGUGAAGCUCCUUCGAC